rnacentral:rRNA from 1 species
CCUACGGGUGGCAGCAGUAGGGAAUAUUGCUCAAUGGGGGAAACCCUGAAGCAGCAACGCCGCGUGGAGGAUGAAGGUUUUCGGAUUGUAAACUCCUUUUGUUAGAGAAGAUAAUGACGGUAUCUAACGAAUAAGCACCGGCGAACUCCGUGCCAGCAGCCGCGGUAAUACGGAGGGUGCAAGCGUUACUCGGAAUCACUGGGCGUAAAGAGCGCGUAGGCGGGAUAGCAAGUCAGAUGUGAAAUCCUCUGGCUUAACCAUAGAACGGCAGUUGAAACUGUUCUUCUAGAGUAUGGGAGAGGCAGGUGGAAUUCUUGGUGUAGGGGUAAAAUCCGUAGAGAUCAAGAGGAAUACUGAUUGCGAAGGCGACCUACUAGAACAUAACUGACGCUGAGGCGCGAAGGCGUGGGGAGCAAACAGGAUUAGAUACCCGUGUAGUC